AAUGUGGCUUAGUGGUAGAGUGCUUGCCUAGCAUGCAUGAAGCCCUGGGUUCGAUUCCUCAGCAUU
rfam:Dipodomys ordii ctg_broad_rename0000152, whole genome shotgun sequence.